CAAGUCGAACGGUAAGGCCCCUUCGGGGGUACACGAGUGGCGAACGGGUGAGUAACAACGUUGGGUGAUCUGCCCUGCACAUCUGGGAUAAGCCUGGGAAACUGGGUCACGAUACCGAUAUGAGCUCCUGUCGCAUGGCGGGGGUUGGAAAGGUUUACUGGUGCAGGA
rnacentral:rRNA from 1 species